rnacentral:lncRNA from 1 species
GCAUGUCUCCCUUCUAAUCUGUAGCUUCUCCUCUAUGUCUAUUUUUCUCCCUUUACAAAUUAGUUUUAAAGAAAUUAGGUUGUUCACAGUGUCUGUAGUAGCAAGUCAACUUUCUAGUUGUUAUAUUCUUCCACUAGGAAGCACAGAAUAUCUUGCUAAGACACUGAAGGGGUUUUGAAGAUAGAUUUGAUGGGCUUCGCUGGUAACUUAGGUUCCAGGGAGUUAAAAAAAAAAAUGAGAGGGGGAGGAAUGAAGGAUGACUCCAGGUUUGGGUGUGAGCAAUAGGAAGGAUAGACAGCAGACAAAUAGACACAUGGUGCUGAAGUUCAGAAGAGGAGGUUGACUUGAGAUGUGGAUUUGAAAGUUGUGUUUUAUUCAUUCAAAACAUACUUUAAUUAAGCACUGGGAAUACAACAGGAGAGCAAAACAGAUAGUCCCUAGAGCUUGUGACCUGGAGGAGAACACAGAAAGCUAAGUGAUCAUACUCACCACAGUGCUAUGAAGAAGAGCCACUCGGUGCUAGGAAGACUUCUGAUGGGGUAUGACCUGGUCUGGAAGCUCAAGGAAAACCUUCCUCAAGGGACUUUUGAGCUGAGAUCUGAAAGACGAAUAAGAGUUGGAGAGGGACAGGGUUUGGUUUCUAGGUAGAGGGAAUGGCAUACACCAAGGUCUACCCUGGAGAGAACACAGGGCAUCGGAGGCCAGUCAAGGCCAGAACACAAGAGACAUGAGUUUAAGAUCCAACUGGAGGGCAGGAGCCACAGCAC